rnacentral:rRNA from 1 species
GAAUAUUGCACAAUGGGGGAAACCCUGAUGCAGCGACGCCGCGUGAGUGAAGAAGUAUUUCGGUACGUAAAGCUCUAUCAGCAGGGAAGAAAGAAAGUCCUUUGGACUUUGGACGGUACCUGACCAAGAAGCCCCGGCUAACUACGUGCCAGCAGCCGCGGUAAUCCGUGGGGGGCAAGCGUUAUCCGGAUUUACUGGGUGUAAAGGGGGCGUAGACGGCAGCGCAAGUCUGGAGUGACAUGCCGGGGCUCAACCCCGGAACUGCUUUGGAAACUGUGCAGCUAGAGUGCGGGAGAGGUAAGCGGAAUUCCUAGUGUAGCGGUGAAAUGCGUAGAUAUUAGGAGGAACACCAGUGGCGAAGGCGGCUUGCUGGACCGUAACUGACGUUGAGGCUCGAAAGCGUGGGGAGCAA